CUGGGCAGAGGGAUCCUCCUCCCAUCAUCACUGGAAGUCUGCUACCAGUGGGACGGUUAAGAAGGAAUCCUUCCUCUAACAGCAGAAGGCAGCACUGCCGUUUUUCGGGUGGAUUUCCCCACUCGUUUCUGCCACCACCUUUAUGGCAGGAGCUGCACAGCUGGAGCUAGGUUGGAGUUCAGCUCCAUCAGCAUCCCACUGCUAGAGAAGGAGAGCAAAUGAGGAUGAAUCAGCUAUGGAGGACAGGAGAGAACUUGAAGAUGGAAAGAUUAAAGAAAGCCCACAGAACAGCAGUGUUUGUAACAGCUACAGUUGCCAGCCCUCCCCCCAAAGCCUGAAGUCAACCCCCAGCUGACUGUGUUUAUCUCUUUGUUGGCUGGAUGCUGCUUGCAGAGCUGUCCCCCCACCUCCCAUCACUGCUCCUCAAUACUCCAAGCUGCCACGCUCUGAGCUCCCCCCACCACGUCCCAGCCUGCCCACACCACCCACCUUCUCUCAGUCCCUCUCCCCAGCCAAUAAGAUGUGGGCUUCACCACCCCAGAGUCAUCCUCCCAUCCUCCAAAGGGAGCUGAUGAUUAAUGGGAGGCAGCUGCUUGGCUCCCUCUCCUCCUUCCCACAGCAUUUUGCAUUCCUGCUCAAGCACAGAGCCAUGCUUGGCUGGCUGCAGCAGCACAGUGAUGCUGCAGAAACAAGGCCAGAUUUCACACCCCCCUUCCUCCUGCUGGCCUGGAGCUCUUGGGGUAGCAGACAUUGAUGUGGUGAGUGUCAGAGCCACGGAGGAAUCAGAAUGGUUUGGC